GAUGAACGCUGGCGGCGUGCUUAACACAUGCAAGUCGAACGGAGUUAUCAUUUUUGAAGCGAUUAGCUUGCUAAGAGUGGAAAAGUUGAUAACUUAGUGGCGGACGGGUGAGUAACGCGUGGGUAACCUGCCUUACACAGGGGGAUAACACUUAGAAAUAGGUGCUAAUACCGCAUAAGCGCACAGUCCCGCAUGGGACAGAGUGAAAAACAUUAGUGGUGUAAGAUGGACCCGCGUCUGAUUAGCUGGUUGGCGGGGUAACGGCCCACCAAGGCGACGAUCAGUAGCCGGCCUGAGAGGGUGGACGGCCACAUUGGGACUGAGACACGGCCCAA
rnacentral:rRNA from 1 species